UCGGAUAUGGUGUAACGGCUAACAUUGCCGCCUCUCAUAAAAUGGGUUGAACCUGUAAUUAACGCGGCAGCUCGGGGUUCGAUUCCCCGUAUCCGAA
rnacentral:tRNA from 1 species